CAGGAAUGAAGCAGCUGUGUGGUUUUCUGGAGAGUCCAGGAUGUGGACUUGAAACUCUGAGAUUGAGGAUCUGUGGUUUGUCAGAGAUCAGCUGUGAUUAUCUGGCAGCAGCGCUGAAGUCCAACUCCACCUGUCUGAGAGAGUUGGACCUGAGUGAGAACAACCUGCAGCAUUUAGGAGAAAAGCAGCUGUGUGGUUUUCUGGAGAGUCUAGGAUGUGGACUUGAAACUCUGAGAUUGGAGGACUGCAGUUUGUCAGAGAUCAGCUGUGAUUAUUUGGCAGCAGCGUUGAAGUCCAACCCCUCGUAUCCCAGAGUACUGGACCUGAGUGGAGACUACAACAACCUGCAGGAUUCAGGAGUGAAGCAGCUGUGUGUUCUUCUGGAGAAUUCACGAUGUCGAUUUGAAACUCUGAGGUCAGUCACCAUGUUUUAGUUGUGCUGAGAUGAAUAUAAUGUGACAGUUAUGCUGACACUCUGGAUUGGUAGGUCCACAGACCCCUAUACAGAUAACCUUGUUCAGCUCUUUGUAGAACUUCUGAUCCCUGAUCCUCUGAGUCUCACUCGGUAGAUAAUGCAGCCUGACAGACUUGAUGUGCAUGUCUUCCCUGGUUGUCCUGAUACAAGUAAACAUGAGUAGCCUUGUGUCAUAAACUCUGGGUGCGGCAGGCAGGAAUGGAGGAUCCAAAAUGCAGACUCUAGGAGGCAAAAAGUAAACUCAAAACAGCUUUAUUGCCGGACACAAGAAUAAAAUGAAUCAAAAUGAGGAUACAAAACAAACUAGGCAGGCUGGCAGGGAAUGAGGGAAAUGGCGGCACAGGACUAAGGGAGAUGCUGACAUAAAUACACAGAAGGAUGACUAAGGAGGUGAGAACACAAGGGGGACUCAGCUGACACAAAUUAACAUGACACCACACGGGAAGCUAAAGUAAACACACCAAACAUGGAAACAAGAGACCUUCACAAUAAAACAGGAAACAAAGGAACAUGACACAGAAGUGGAGGUAAGGCUAACGAGAGGGAGCGAGGGAACACGAAGGAGCACGAGGGAGAGGAGGCGAGAGAGACAUGACAGACUGGAACAUGGAUAAACAUGACAGGCAGGGGGGAACAGAAUGAAACACAAGGAGGGAAACAAGACAGUAGAAGUAACACAACAUAUAUAAACACAGACACACAGAGGUCAAAGACACAAGGGGAAAAUAGUAAAUAAUCAAGGAACUUAGCAGGGAAUAUAAGAAACUCAGAACAGACCAACUUAGACUUCUCCUAAAUCUGAACAUGAACUAUAACACAAAACAUCACCAAGACACUCAAACACCAGAAACUGACAAACACUGGGUCAAAAGGACACAGGACAAUGACACCUUGCAGGUCAUAUGUUAUCAGUCACACCUGUUAGUGAAGCUCUCCUCUAGACUGUAGUCCUUGUUAAACGAGGAUUGUUUUAGAAGCUGUUACGAGUUCAAAAGUAUUGGAGAUGGAUACAAGAGGAAAACCAAAAUAACAACACUGG